UUCAACACUGCGGAAAAAGCACGUGCGGGGCCUCAAUGCCGCACGUGCGGGAGGUGUGCCGCACGUGCGGGAGAUCCUAGCCGCACGUGCGGCUCAAGGCAGAAAAGUUGGGAUGCUCCGUUUUGCCUGUUGGGCCCUCUAAUGUUGUCAAAACCUGCAAUUUAUAUUGUUUGAAAGUUCGUUAAUUUAAUCAAAGUAAGUGAACCGAAUGUUGAUUUAACAAGGAUAAAAAGGGACUAAUGUGAUUUUUCAUGUGUGUAGGAAACACCUCAAAAGGAAGUGCACUGCCACAACACAGUAAUCAACCAGGAGGUCGAUCUUAGCUCGGCAUCGUCAUACUUUUGUCAGCCUAGGCACAGCCAAGCUUGGGGUCGGGACCCUACUUUUGUGGAGUUGUUAGAUGAUGACUCACACUUUUGCUAUUGGCUUAAGUUGUUAUGUACUUAAUGUUUUUGUUAUAUACCCCAUCUCGGGGUUAGUUUUGUAUAUGCCUGUAAAUAACUAACUCUUAAAUGUAUUUUGGCUUUUGAUGUA